GACGAACGCUGGCGGCGUGCUUAGCACAUGCAAGUCGAACGGUAAGGCCCUUCGGGGUACACGAGUGGCGAACGGGUGAGUAACACGUGGGUGAUCUGCCCUGCACUUCGGGAUAAGCCUGGGAAACUGGGUCUAAUACCGGAUAGGACCACUGCCUGCAUGGGUGGUGGUGGACAGCUUUUGCGGUGUGGGAUGGGCCCGCGGCCUAUCAGCUUGUUGGUGGGGUGAUGGCCUACCAAGGCGACGACGGGUAGCCGGCCUGGGAGGGUGACCGGCCAGACUGGGACUGAGAUACGGCCCAGACUCCGACGGGAGGGAGCAGGGGGGAAUAUUGGACAGUGGGCGCAAGCCUGAUGCAGCGACGCCGCGUGAGGGAUGACGGCCUUCGGGUUGUAAACCUCUUUCAGCACCGACGAAGCGCAAGUGACGGUAGGUGCAGAAGAAGGACCGGCCAACUACGUGCCAGCCGCCGCGGUAA
rnacentral:rRNA from 1 species